rnacentral:rRNA from 1 species
GAUGAACGCUGGCGGCGUGCCUAAUACAUGCAAGUCGAGCGAACAGACGAGGAGCUUGCUCCUCUGACGUUAGCGGCGGACGGGUGAGUAACACGUGGAUAACCUACCUAUAAGACUGGGAUAACUUCGGGAAGCCGGAGCUAAUACCGGAUAAUAUAUUGAACCGCAUGGUUCAAUAGUGAAAGACGGUUUUGCUGUCACUUAUAGAUGGAUCCGCGCCGCAUUAGCUAGUUGGUAAGGUAACGGCUUACCAAGGCGACGAUGCGUAGCCGACCUGAGAGGGUGAUCGGCCACACUGGAACUGAGACACGGUCCAGACUCCUACGGGAGGCAGCAGUAGGGAAUCUUCCGCAAUGGGCGAAAGCUUGACGGAGCAACGCCGCGUGAGUGAUGAAGGUCUUCGGAUCGUAAAACUCUGUUAUUAGGGAAGAACAAAUGUGUAAGUAACUAUGCACGUCUUGACGGUACCUAAUCAGAAAGCCACGGCUAACUACGUG